GGGAGUGUAAUGGUUUGCUAUGGGCCCAGGACUUCCCUGACACGGAAGAGGUCAGAAGUUCAAAUCUUCUAACGCCCACCA
rnacentral:tRNA from 1 species